rnacentral:rRNA from 1 species
UACGAAGGGGGCAAGCGUUGUUCGGAAUCACUGGGCGUAAAGGGCGCGUAGGCGGCCAUUCAAGUCGGGGGUGAAAGCCUGUGGCUCAACCACAGAAUUGCCUUCGAUACCGUUUGGCUUGAGUUUGGUAGAGGUUGGUGGAACUGCGAGUGUAGAGGUGAAAUUCGUAGAUAUUCGCAAGAACACCAGUGGCGAAGGCGGCCAACUGGACCAACACUGACGCUGAGGCGCGAAAGCGUGGGGAGCAAACAGG